rnacentral:rRNA from 1 species
GAUGAACGCUGGCGGCGUGCCUAAUACAUGCAAGUCGAGCGAACAGACGAGGAGCUUGCUCCUCUGACGUUAGCGGCGGACGGGUGAGUAACACGUGGAUAACCUACCUAUAAGACUGGGAUAACUUCGGGAAACCGGAGCUAAUACCGGAUAAUAUAUUGAACCGCAUGGUUCAAUAGUGAAAGACGGUUUUGCUGUCACUUAUAGAUGGAUCCGCGCCGCAUUAGCUAGUUGGUAAGGUAACGGCUUACCAAGGCAACGAUGCGUAGCCGACCUGAGAGGGUGAUCGGCCACACUGGAACUGGGACACGGUCCAGACUCCUACGGGAGGCAGCAGUAGGGAAUCGUCCGCAGUGGGCGAGAGCAUGACGGAGCAACGCCGCGUGAGUGAUGAAGGUCUUCGGAUCGUAAAACUCUGUUAUUAGGGAAGAACAAAUGUGUAAGUAACUAUGCACGUCUUGACGGUACCUAAUCAGAAAGCCACGGCUAACUACGUG